AUGCCGCGACCGAAGUGCGUGAGACGAACCGUUAUACACGGUGAGCCCAUAAAAUUGUUAUUCAAAUGUUUCAGCUGCCGGGCAGCGUACCCUAGGGAUUACGUGUACCGACUGAGUUCACUUUGAGGGUAAGAUGCUUGGAGGGAAAGAGAGCGAAGUUUUCGCUCGAGUGCCCGACCAGCAUUGUACCACCGCUUAUGGCACGAUAACAGUUUCCUUCGACAAUAACGAUUUCAGUAUCAGGAUGACAGGACACGCGAGCAUUAAAAACAGUCUUGUUAGUAGAGUUCGAUUGAGAAGCUGAGAAAAAUUCGGCUCAUAUAGAUGUGAACUCAUUACUUAAUUUUUAACGUAAGGAAUAAUUGAUCAAAAGAUGUUUAUCUUUUCUCAAGUGGUGAAAAUUUUAGUACAAGAAUAUUAUAACAUGUUGAACGUUGAAAAAGAAUUGAUUUUUUAUGAAGAUCUAUCUUAGAGAUUUUGUAAUAAAAGAAUAAUGUCAAGAACGAAGAAUCAAAACACAUGUGAAACGAGAUCAAAAUAUUCGUAUUUCAUCACAUGAUCAAACACAAACAAUGUAUGUAUGUAUUUCUUAACGAGCGAAUGAGUGAAUAUCGCGAGUUAACAAGCCUAACCUUGUGAAUCGAAAAAUAAGAAGUAUAUUGUGGAUGAAAUGGAAUUGAUCCAAGCGUAACGAUUAAUAUCAAAUGGUAGAUUUAUGGGAGAUAAACGUGCGACUUUGCUGUUUACCAUCUCCCACAGAAAUCGCGUGCAGGUACAGUUAUGCCGAAUGAGAUUCUCCGGUCUGGCCAACUAUCCGGUACAAUUUAUGGCCUUAGUAUCACAUUGGAUACCCGAAGCACCAAAGAGAAUUUUCCUCGGUGUGAUUCUCUGACUGUAACUCGUAAGCUAUUAAUAUUCCAUGUUACAUAUCGAACUGGCAAUAUCAAAAUCUCGCGCAUUCCUUA